GGUCCAAGAUGUAAAUACACAGAGAAAAGAAGGACAGUUUGAAACUGUCCUAGCUGAAAUCAUUACAGAUGAACACAAUGAAAAAAAUAGCUUAUAGGCAAC